rnacentral:rRNA from 1 species
UACGUAGGGGCCUAGCGUUGUCCGGAUUUAUUGGGCGUAAAGAGCUCGUAGGCGGUUUGGCUAGUCAGGUGUGAAAUCUCCACGCUCAACGUGGAGGGGCCACCUGAUACUGCCAUGACUUGAGUCCGGUAGGGGAGUGUGGAAUUCCCGGUGUAGCGGUGAAAUGCGCAGAUAUCAGGAGGAACACCGAUGGCGAAGGCAGGUCUCUGGGCAUUAACUGACGCUGAGGAGCGAAAGCAUGGGGAGCGAACAGG